AAAGGUUAAGAACCACUGCCAUAUAGGAUACCAGCAACUGUACGAUGUGGAUAGAAAACAGAGGAACAUAAUAACAAUAACAAUAUUUCUAUUCUUCAUUACAAGUCAUCUGCGCUGCUCCACAAGUAGAAAAUGGUAACUUUUCUCCUCUCUGGAGUCGUUACAAUAUUGAAGACAUAAUCUACACAAAAUGUAAGCCAGGAUAUAUUCUUGAAACUCAUAAGAAUUCAUCUAAAUGCACAAAAAGCGGUUGGUCACCAUAUCCGAAAUGUGUCAGAAAACAGUGUGACUUUCCUCAUAUAGAGAAUGGAGCAUUAUCCUGGUCCAACAUAUAUUAUAGUGAUGUCUCUUUUCCCAAAAAAGUGGGACAAAUAAUUGGUUUCAAAUGUAAUCAUGGUUUCCUGUCAAGAAAUAAAAAGCAUUGGGAUAGAAUCAAAUGCACUAAUUUUGGCUGGGAUCCAGAACCACAAUGUUAUAAACAGUGCAUUCCUCCUAAACACUUGCCACAUGGUCAUGUGACUUAUAAUCAUCGGGAUACUUUCAUAGAAGAUGAUAAGAUUUCAUUUAAUUGUGAUAUGGGAUAUUAUCCUGAACACCAUUUACCAACAGCCACAUGCAGCAAAAAUGACUGGUUUCCCAUUCUGAAUUGUGUCUCUACAGAUAUUCAUCAAUCAACUUGGUAAGAGACAUUUCACCCAUUCUCCUCUUUCUCCUCCAAACACUCUAGAAGAAUGAGAGGUAGCAGUCUGGUCUUAUUAAUUUUAUUAGCAUGAUUUUGAUAGCUUAUUAUAUAGGCAGAAGCCUAUUGGAGAAAGGCUCAACUUUAAAAGCUUAGUCACUCCUGUAUAAUAAAUUCAAGGCAAUCCGAGAUAUACAGCACAGAAGCCACAACUUACAAUAAAUAGGUCCAAGAUGCAUUGAUCCUUUGUAUCAUCGAUCUGUAUCUUUAUUUACUGCUUUCCCUUUGUUUUAAUUAUAACUGAAUUCACUGGACUGCUUUCAAAUGCAUUAAAUCAUCUUUAUUUUGUGUCAUUUUGGUUACGUAAAGAAAUAACCAGCUUUGGAUUU